UGCAGCCUUGUCAAAUUCAGUGCCUCCUCUGUGGAUGCCACUGGCCAAAACGGCUGCCACAGUGAAGCUGUAGUUCAUGGGCCCCACGAUGCUUCAUUAAGGCCCCUGGGGAUAAGUAUGUACUACACACAGAC